rnacentral:rRNA from 1 species
CGCGUAGGCGGCUCAUUAAGUGGCUGGUGAAAUCCCGGGGCUCAACUCCGGGGCUGCCGGUCAGACUGGUGGGCUUGAGCACGGUAGAGGCGGAUGGAAUUCCCGGUGAAGCGGUGGAAUGCGUAGAGAUCGGGAAGAAUACCGGUGGCGAAGGCGUUCCACUGGGCCGUUGCUGACGCUGAGGCGCGACAGCGUGGGAGCAAACA